CCUACGGGAGGCAGCAGUGAGGAAUAUUGGUCAAUGGCCGCAAGUCUGAACCAGCCAAGCCGCGUGAAGGACGAAGGUGCUAAGAGUUGUAAACUUCUUUUGUCAAGGGACAAAAUCAGCUUCGCGUGUCUGACCGAGGGUAUCUUACGAAUAAGCAUCGGCUAACUCCGUGCCAGCAGCCGCGGUAAUACGGAGGAUGCAAGCGUUAUCCGGAUUUAUUGGGUUUAAAGGGUGCGUAGGCGUUCUGUUAAGUUAGCGGUAAAAGCCCGGGGCUCAACCCCGGAGAGCCGUUGAAUCUGGUUGGCUUGAGAGGUCGAGAGGUAGGAGGAAUGCAAGGUGUAGCGGUGAAAUGCUUAGAGAUUGCACAGAACACCGAUUGCGAAGGCAGCAUACCGGCGGCGAUCUGACGCUGAGGCACGAAAGCGUGGGUAGCGAACAGGAUUAGAUACCCGAGUAGUC
rnacentral:rRNA from 1 species